rnacentral:rRNA from 1 species
UCAUAUGCUUGUCUCAAAGAUUAAGCCAUGCAUGUCUAAGUACAUGCCGUAUUAAGGCGAAACCGCGAAUGGCUCAUUAAAUCAGUUAUGGUUCCUUGGAUCGUACCUUACUACUUGGAUAACUGUGGUAAUUCUAGAGCUAAUACAUGCAGCAGAGCUCCGACCUUCGGGGACGAGCGCUUUUAUUAGACCAAAACCAAUCGGACUCCGUCCGUCUCUCGUGGUGACUCUGAAUAACUUUGGGCUGAUCGCACGGGCCCGUCCCGGCGACGUAUCUUUCAAGUGUCUGCCUUAUCAACUGUCGAUGGUAGGUUACGCGCCUACCAUGGUCGUAACGGGUAACGGGGAAUCAGGGUUCGAUUCCGGAGAGGGAGCCUGAGAAACGGCUACCACAUCCAAGGAAGGCAGCAGGCGCGCAAAUUACCCACUCCCAGAACGGGGAGGUAGUGACGAAAAAUAACAAUACGGGACUCUUUUGAGACCCCGUAAUUGGAAUGAGUACACUCUAAAUCCUUUAACGAGGAUCCAUUGGAGGGCAAGUCUGGUGCCAGCCGCCGCGGUAACUCCAGCUCCAAUAGCGUAUAUUAAAGUUGUUGCGGUUAAAAAGCUCGUAGUUGGAUCUCAGUUCCAGACGGGUGGUCCGCCUACCGGUGGUUACUGCCUGUUCUGAACAGCCAGCCGGUUUCUCUUGAUGAUCUUCACCGGUUGUCUUGGGUGACCGGCAAGUUUACUUUGAAAAAAUUAGAGUGCUCAAAGCAGGCGCGACGCCUGAAUAAUGGUGCAUGGAAUAAUGGAAUAGGACCUCGGUUCUAUUUUGUUGGUUUUCGGAACACGAGGUAAUGAUUAAGAGGGACAGACGGGGGCAUUCGUAUUGCGACGCUAGAGGUGAAAUUCUUGGACCGUCGCAGGACGA